GACGAACGCUGGCGGCGUGCCUAAUACAUGCAAGUAGAACGCAGUUGCGAACGGGUGAGUAACGCGUAGGUAACUGCCUCAUAGCGGGGGAUAACUAUUGGAAACGAUAGCUAAUACCGCAUACUGUGAGAUGGACCUGCGUUGUAUUAGCUAGUUGGUGGGGGAAAGGCUCACCAAGGCGACGAUACAUAGCCGGCCUGGGAGGGUGAUCGACCAAACUGGGACUGGGGACCGGCCCCAACCCCUAAGGGGGGCCGCAGUAGGGAAACUUCGGAAAUGGACGGAAGUCUGGCCGCGCAAAGCCGCGUGAGUGGAAAAAGUUUUCGGGUCGUAAAGCUCUGUUGUUAGAGAAGCGGUACCUAAACAGGAAGGGACGGCUAACUACGUGCCAGCAGCCGCGGUAAUUC
rnacentral:rRNA from 1 species